rnacentral:tRNA from 1 species
GCCAUAGUAGCUUAAUUAAAGCGUUGGCCUUGUAAGCCAAAGAAUGGGAGUGAAACUCACCCCUAUGGCA